rnacentral:siRNA from 1 species
CACUGUCUGUCCCGAGUUUGGAAU